CCAGUGACAGUUAAAUGAAGUUUUCCCUUUAUAUAAUGGUAUAGAUAAUUAUAAUGCAUUUAUAAUUAUAAUGCUCAAGUUCCUGCCAACAUUCAAGAAAUAAUUAUAAUGCAUUUAUAAUAAUAGAAUGCAAAAAAGGAAUCUUUGAUUGGUCCUACGUAUAAAAUAUGCAUAAAAAUUACAGCUAUGAUACUUUUAUCAUUUUAUUUACAAUAAAAUGACACUUUUAUUUUUAGAAGCAAAUAAAAAAAAAAGAAUUUCUCUUACUGUACCAGAGAGGUUCCUCGUUCAAAAUAACUUAUGGGAGAGAAUCCUUAUUAAAAAAAACAUAAUGCUAUAUCAUGAACUUGUACAAUUGAAGGAGACAUGUACACAUUUAAUGCAUUCUAUUGUAUUCAAAGUAAGUGUCACUCACUAAUUCUUCAUUGUUGCCUCAUGUUCUUUCUGCUAUUCAAUAUUGGCAGUUAGUCUAACUCCUACAAGAGCUGCCCGUUGGUGAAGGAAAAAUUAGAAUAGAACAUGCUGGUAAUAAGCCAAUAACAAACCAAAAACAUAGUAAAUUAACACAAGUCACAACACUCACAAGUUAGCCAUAUAGGACUAUAGUGUAGCUUGUAAAUAAUUUGUAAAUGAACUGAAUAAAUAAAUGGAUGACAUCCCAAACAAAUUUUAAGCUAUAAAAAUUUAAAGAUUCCUAGCACUGUUAAAGAAAUGCAGUUAUUAUAACCUCGGGUCUAUAAAUGAAAUGUAUAAAAUGUCCAUGUUUCUUCCAAUAAAUUGCUUCACAUUUCCUAUCAUUAGAUAUAAAAGAAUCAUAACGCAGUAACACUUGACAUUUUAUCGAACACAUAAGCUACAACACACAAAAAACUCUAAACUAGAUAAACAAACAAAUAUGACAAAAAGCAUCCACAUAAACAUUUUCAAAACUGAUUUGAAUAAGAUGCAAUAUGAUAGAUAUUGAACAGAAACAAUAAAAAUAGAUGAGUACCGAACAAAAGUAUAUUUGAGUUUCAGUGUACUGGAAGCUUACACUUACUAGCUCCUUCCUCGCACAAAUGAUUGUAACCACGAGAACUUAAAAGAUAAACCUAAUAAAGCAUUAGAUCCAUCCAAUUUUUAUAAGAACAUGUGAAUAAACUCAAAUCAAUUUUCAAGCACAUCAUCCUUCUCAUCAUUGUAAGCUCGCGAACGCUGGGGAGUUUCUUCGUCGCACCAAAGUAACCAGGACCAUUGAGCUCCUUGGGAGGUGCGACAAUGGUUAAUAAAAAUGGAUUGCAGAUAGAAGGGAAAGAUCCUAUGGUGUGGAGGCUGAGAAAUGACUUUAGGUUUAGAAACAAAGUUUGAACACUUUGAUUUCAAA
rnacentral:lncRNA from 1 species